AACGAACGCUGGCGGCAGGCUUAACACAUGCAAGUCGAACGCCCCGCAAGGGAAGUGGCAGACGGGUGAGUGACGCGUGGGAAUCUACCUAGUUCUACGGAACAACAGUCGGAAACGACUGCUAAUACCGUAUACGCCCUACGGGGGAAAGAUUUAUCGGAAUUAGUUGAGCCCGCGUAAGAUUAGCUAGUUGGUGGGGUAAUGGCCUACCAAGGCGACGAUCUUUAGCUGGUCUGAGAGGAUGAUCAGCCACACUGGGACUGAGACACGGCCCAGACUCCUACGGGAGGCAGCAGUGGGGAAUAUUGGACAAGGGGCGCAAGCCUGAUCCAGCCAUGCCGCGUGAGUGAUGAAGGCCUUAGGGUUGUAAAGCUCUUUCGCCGACGAAGAUAAUGACGGUAGUCGGAGAAGAAGCCCCGGUUAACUUCGUGCCAGCCGCCGCGGUAAUAC
rnacentral:rRNA from 1 species